rnacentral:rRNA from 1 species
AAAGAUGGGCAUGCGUGGCAUUAGUUAGUUGGUGAGGUAACGGCUCACCAAGGCAAUGAUGCCUAGGGGUCCUGAGAGGGUUUUCCCCCACACUGGUACUGAGACACGGACCAGACUCCUGCGGGAGGCAGCAGUAAGGAAUAUUGGGCAAUAGGCGCAAGCCUGACCCAGCCAUGCCGCGUGCAGGAUGACGGCCCUAUGGGUUGUAAACUGCUUUUGUAUGGGAAAAAACUCCCGCACGUGUGCGGGACUGAUUGUACUAUACGAAUAAGCAUCGGCUAACUCCGUGCCAGCAGCCGCGGUAAUACGGAGGAUGCAAGCGUUAUCCGGAUUUAUUGGGUUUAAAGGGUGCGCAGGCGGAUUAGUAAGUCAGUGGUGAAAGCUCCCGGCUCAACCGGGAAAAUGCCAUUGAUACUGUUAAUCUUGAGUACAGUUGAGGUUGGCGGAAUGUAUCAUGUAGCGGUGAAAUGCAUAGAUAUGAUACAGAACACCGAUAGCGAAGGCAGCUUACCAAACUGUAACUGACGCUCAUGCACGAAAGCGUGGGGAGCAAACAGGAUUAGAUACCCUGGUAGUCCACGCUGUAAACUAUGAUCACUCGCUGUUGGCGAUACACUGUCAGCGGCUUAGCGAAAGUGUUAAGUGAUCCACCUGGGGAGUACGAUCGCAAGGUUGAAACUCAAAGGAAUUGACGGGGGCCCGCACAAGCGGAGGAGCAUGUGGUUUAAUUCGAUGAUACGCGAGGAACCUUACCUGGGCUUAAAUGCAGAACGACCUCCCGAGAAAUCGGGACUUCCUUCGGGACGGACUGCAAGGUGCUGCAUGGUUGUCGUCAGCUCGUGCCGUGAGGUGUCGGGUUAAGUCCCAUAACGAGCGCAACCCUUAUCCUUAGUUGCCAACAGGUAAUGCUGGGAACUCUAAGGAAACUGCCUACGCAAGUAGUGAGGAAGGUGGGGAUGACGUCAAAUCAGCACGGCCCUUAUGUCCAGGGCUACACACGUGCUACAAUGGUCGGUACAGAGGGCAGCUACCUGGCAACAGGAUGCUAAUCUCGAAAGCCGAUCUCAGUUCGGAUUGGAGUCUGCAACUCGACUCCAUGAAGUU